CAAAACGCAUAGGAGGGAUGGGUUGUUUUUUAAGUAUUCAAGAGCUCUCUCGCUCGUCCCUGUCUCGGACACUCCACUAAAACUCCCCGGCCACAUCUCCAGCUCCGUGAAAAGGUGAAACCAAUAACAUUAAAUCGGACAAAGAUUUUUUUUUUCUCUCCAGUAAGUGUAUCAUUAAGAUUUAACUCCGCAGAUUGGAAAUGGGGGCUCCGCUCGAGGAGAGUAGAAUGAGAGGCACAGCGAAUGGGAGCAGGCUAGGGGCACCAGUACAAAGCUGGGAGACGGCUAAAGAAAAGAAAAGGACAAAGUGGACAGGCGGACAUUAAAAGAAGAAGCACCGGCGAGGGCGGUAAGCGAGGAGCAGCUUUCUACCUGCGUAAAAGCAGCCUACGGCCGCGAGCCACGUUGCCUCCGGGAUACACAGCGGGUCGCGUUGGUUCUGGUGGAAGGCUCCACACACGAUUUUCCAACACGCCGCUCCGCAGAAUGCUGCCACCUGUGUCUUUAGGGGGAAAAAAGGGGACUAUUGGUAUUCCUCUUCAGGAGGCUGGUUAAGACCCCAAAUCAGAGCUUCUAGCUACCAGCCGCUGCUGUAAAUGCUCACACAGUCACUGACGAUGAACGCCAGCGGAGCAGUGACACACAGGAGCCUGGACACCAACGACACCGGAUGGUAACACUUGUAAAUGCUCUUGAACUUGCUUUCAUAUUUCAAUGUAACAUUAUAAAAGGCAGCGCAACGCAUAAACAAUCUCAAUAAAAAAAAAAAAAUUGAUC